rnacentral:tRNA from 1 species
GGCGGCGUAGCUCAGCUGGUAGAGCAGGCGGCUCAUAAUCGCCGGGUCGCAGGUUCGAGUCCUGCCGCCGCCA